rnacentral:ncRNA from 2 species
GGGGAACCCGGUGCGAAUCCGGGACUGACGCGCAGCGGUGAGGUGGUCCGGCGGGAGAGCCGGGCGCCGAGUCCGAGUACCC